rnacentral:rRNA from 1 species
AUUGAACGCUGGCGGCAGGCCUAACACAUGCAAGUCGAACGAGUGGCGGACGGGUGAGUAAUGUCUGGGAAACUGCCUGAUGGAGGGGGAUAACUACUGGAAACGGUAGCUAAUACCGCAUACCAUCGGAUGUGCCCAGAUGGGAUUAGCUAGUAGGUGGGGUAAAGGCUCACCUAGGCGACGAUCCCUAGCUGGUCUGAGAGGAUGACCAGCCACACGGGGAAUGAGAGCAGGGCCAGACUCCUACGGGAGGCAGGAGUGGGGAAUAUUCGACAAUGGGCGCAAGCCUGAGGCAGCCAUGCGGCGGGAAUGAAGAAGGCCUUCGGGUUGUAAAGGACUGUCAGCGGAGAGGCGUUACCCAAAGAAGAAGCACCGGCUAACUCCGUGCCAGCAGCCGCGGUAAUUC